GUACUUACCUGGCAAAGGAGACACCAUGAUCACAAGGGUGAUUUUCCCAAGGUGGGGCUUAUCCAUCGUCCCCUGGACAAUGCUGACCCCUGUGAGUUCCCCACUGUGAGAAACCAACUUCAUUGCUUAUGGUAGAGGGGGCUGUAUUCAUAUUUUCACCUA